AUGCAAGCCGCGCCGCACCUGGACGACGGCAUCGUCUCCGAGAUCCUGCACCGGCUCCCCACCAAAGAAGCGUACCGUCUCGCCGCUGUCUGCCGGCGGUGGCGCGCGGUGCUCUGCCAGCCCACGUUCCUCUGCCGCCACCUCUCCCCGCGGCCGCUGCCGCUCCUCGACGACGGCCCGUCCGCCUUCAUCGUCCAGCCACGCGGCAAGACAGGAUACUCACACCUCACUCUCGUCGCCACCAACCCUGGCGACGGCUUCCCCGUCAGAUUCCCCGUCCCCGGUAGGUACAUGGAUCGCCUGCCUCCGCAACGGCAAAUCGUCCGAGUUCCACGGCCAGAUCCGACGCCCGCCCUCCUCGACAAGGGCGCCGAAAAAUCAGUUUUCCGCCUUCUCUACUCCACCGGCGCCGACGACGAAGACGACGUUCCUUAUGUGUCCGAGUCUGAGUCCGAGUCCGAGGACGUCGCUGCUGAAGCAGAACAGCCGGUGGUCGGCAGCUUGUUCGACGGCUCUGACUCUGAGGACGACGCCGCUGAACAGCAGGCUGCGGUCGUCGUCCCUACCGCCACGGUGAUAGAUGUCGCCGAGCCGGACACUGUGCGCUUGGAGCAUCCCGAUCAGUCGCCGCCGGCGUCACAAGUGCAGGUGGAGGACUACGUCGUCUUCUUUGAGAAGACCGUCCCCAUGCUCGACAUCUCCAUCGUCGCAUCCCAUGGCCGACUCCUGCUGGCCCGCAGCCAGAGCCGGUUCUAUGUGUGCGACCCAGGCGCGAACCGCUGGCUGGCGCUCCCGCCAUCAACAAUCGCACCGGACAGUGACGCCAACCGCGGACUCGAGUACCACGUCGACGCGUCCACCGGCAACACGAUCUUCACGGUGGUCCUUCUCCUCCGGCGCAGGCUCCGCCGCGGGCUCGUGGAGGCCUUCUCGUCCACGACCGGCACGUGGAACGUGCGGGAGCUCCGCUCGGAAGGCGUGACGCGCUGCCUCGGCGCCGCAUCCCCCGGCGUCCACGUCGGCACCUGCUUCUACUGGCUCAGCCGGCGCAAGGGCCGCAUCGUCCGCUACGACGCCGCCCGCGGCCGCGCCUCGGUGCUACGCGAGCCGCCGGAGGCGGAGCAGUCCAGGUGCCGGGUGGGGCGGGCGCUGGGCACGGCGGGCGCGCGGCUCCGGCUGUGCGCGUUCGACAUCCGCGACGAGAGGGGCGACUCGAUGCUCCCGCACGACGGCCUGGAGGGCGUGCACGGCGUGUGGGUGAUGAUGGAGGGCGUGCCGUCGUCGUGGCGGCGCGUGCACGAGGCGUUGGUGGAGGACAUAUCGGUGUGGUACUUCCUGUCGCUGCACAACCACGAGACGCCGGUGGACUUCGCCGGUGCGAGCGACGAGUUCAUCGUGGUGGACAAGGGCAAGCGCCUGCUGCGGUACGACCUCGACAGCGGCCACAAGGUACCCCUCUUCAGCCUCUACCGGGACGCCGGCCGGCUCGGCGCGCUCUACCGCCGCUACCACGCCUUCGCCUUCUUCCGCUGA
rnacentral:rRNA from 1 species